rfam:Oryza sativa Japonica Group DNA, chromosome 1, cultivar: Nipponbare, complete sequence.
AAUAAGUGUAGUUUUGCACUGUUCAUGUCCAAUGUUUGACCGUCCGUCUUAUUUGAAAAUUUUUUUUAUGAUUAGUAUUUUUGUUAUUAUUAGAUGAUAAAACAUGAAUAGUAUUUUGUGUGACUAAUUUUUUCUUAAACUUUUCAAAUAAGACAGACGGUCAAACGUUGGACACAGAAACCCACGGUUAUACUUAUU